AUUGAACGCUGGCGGCAUGCCUUACACAUGCAAGUCGAACGGCAGCGGACCUUCGGGUGCCGGCGAGUGGCGAACGGGUGAGUAAUAUAUCGGAACGUACCUUUCAGUGGGGGAUAACGUAGCGAAAGUUACGCUAAUACCGCAUAUUCUGUGAGCAGGAAAGCAGGGGAUCGCAAGACCUUGCGCUGAUUGAGCGGCCGAUAUCAGAUUAGCUAGUUGGUGAGGUAAAGGCUCACCAAGGCGACGAUCUGUAGCGGGUCUGAGAGGAUGAUCCGCCACACUGGAACUGAGACACGGUCCAGACUCCUACGGGAGGCAGCAGUGGGGAAUUUUGGACAAUGGGCGCAAGCCUGAUCCAA
rnacentral:rRNA from 1 species